ensembl:ncRNA lncRNA:CR44614 long non-coding RNA:CR44614
GAGACGUCUUUAAACGGAUUUUCAGUUACAAUUUCGACGCUUUAACUCCGCAAAAACACACACAAAAUCGAAGCCAGGAUAAAUAGGCAGGAAUAAUUGAGCGGCUGCUGGUGCCGUCGGGGCAUCAUUCCAUCAUUUCCCAAUCCCAGGCCCUACCCAUCGCAACCCCAGCCCCGCCCACUCACGCCCCUUCUGGGAAAAAAACACGAGAUAAUCGCCUCAGUUUCCAUUGCGGCCCACAAAAUUUUUAUGCGUGGCAACAUUUUUUGCGCUUGGCUUCAGUUUCGCACAGGCCAGUGCUCGUGAUUAGCUUUGGUCAUGGAUGGACUCGUCAUGGUUGUCGGAGAGGGAUGUGGGAGCUCCUGGCGGUAGAUGGAGCAGAAGAAAAAGGCUUUGGCCCAGUGAGUAGCGCGAUAAUUAGGACUCAAAAUCCUAGUCCCGAAGAUGAUUUAUGACGCCAGCGCUGCUGGAGUUCAUUGCUGGCUAAUUUAUUACGCUCUCGCCGUGAGGGAUCAACUGUUUCUUCUUAGCUCCACCGCCCACGUGCUCCUCAAAGUCAAUAUUUUCUUGAUGUGUAACU